rnacentral:rRNA from 1 species
CCUACGGGAGGCAGCAGUAAGGAAUAUUGGUCAAUGGACGAAAGUCUGAACCAGCCAUGCCGCGUGAAGGAUGAAGGUCCUCUGGAUUGUAAACUUCUUUUAUCUGGGACGAAAAAAGGGCUUUCUAGCUCACUUGACGGUACCAGAGGAAUAAGCACCGGCUAACUCCGUGCCAGCAGCCGCGGUAAUACGGAGGGUGCAAGCGUUAUCCGGAUUUACUGGGUUUAAAGGGAGCGUAGGUGGACAGGUAAGUCAGUGGUGAAAUCUCUGGGCUUAACCCGGAAACUGCCAUUGAUACUAUCUGUCUUGAAUAUCCUGGAGGUAAGCGGAAUAUGUCAUGUAGCGGUGAAAUGCUUAGAUAUGACAUAGAACACCCAUUGCGAAGGCAGCUUACUACGGGAUUAUUGACACUGAGGCUCGAAAGCGUGGGGAUCAAACAGGAUUAGAUACCCUGGUAGUCCACGCCCUAAACGAUGGAUACUCGACAUCAGCGAUACACUGUUGGUGUCUGAGCGAAAGCAUUAAGUAUCCCACCUGGGAAGUACGACCGCAAGGUUGAAACUUAAAGGAAUUGACGG